ACCGCGAGAUCGUGACCUGGCUGAAGUCGGACGCUUAACCGACUGCGCCACCCAGGCGCCCCAAAUUUUUGUAGAUUUUUAAAACUCUUACGGGUCGUUUAGCAUUUUGAAGGAAACUUGAGAGAGAAAAUUCAAUAUUCUCUCUUCUGUGAUGUAUUUAACAUAUAGGUAUUAAAAAACUUUGACAUAAGGAAUAGUGAUGUAGGGAGUUAGAACAGCGGCCUAGGAAAAUAAAAUUGCUUUUAGUCAUGCAUACGCAAUAAUUACAACCAUAACUUCACAAACUGUGGUUCAUACAGACUGAUCCACAGAGUCAGGAGUGGUUGGAGGACACUGAUGCUGUGGUUAUACGUAUAAAAAUAAUGAGUCCUCCAAAUUGUCUGCAUAUUGCUCAUGAAAUGAUAGCAAAUCCUGUGAUUGCAAGUGGGUUUCUUAUCUUCUUUGUCUCGAACGUGCUUCUGGGGACUUGGGUUGUACUUUGCAUGGGAAAGUAGGCUUGACAUUCUGUCAUAUGCCUUCUCCACGACCCAGUUUUCUUUGACUGUACAAUUUGCCUAAGACUGCAUUUCACCUGCCCAGAGAGUCUCAGGUAGCCUUGUAAUAAAAGCAAUAUAGCUGACUGAUGAGUUCUAGAUUUGUCUGUCUUGUCUCAAUAAUUAACAUGAUGUUAUAUCUGUUGUUAGAUAUAUUAUAAGGCAAUGGUCUCCAAAUGUAGAUUUUUGCUCCCAUGGGACAUUUGGCAACAUCUGGAGACACUUUUGGUUGUCACAACUUGGGGAAAAGGGUUUUACCACUUGCAUCUAGACUGUAGAGGUCAUAAAUGUUGCAAAAGACCCUAUAGUGCACAGUACACUCUCCCACAAUAAGGAAUUAUCUGUCCCAAAAUGUCAAUAGUGCUGAGGUUGAGAAACCCUACUAUAAAGUACUGUAUAUUGUUAGCCACUUUUAAUUCAAUACUUAGCAAGUAUUAUAAUUCUAUCAAGGGUAUACAAAUAAUUAUUCUCAUGUAUUUUAUUUUGUUACCCCUUCUGCUACUGGUUGUGUAUACAUGUCAAAAGGAGUAUCGUAGGUUUCUUCAAAAUGAAUUGCUGACCGGUAUAUCAGAUAAAGAAUGUUCAUCUAUCUAGAAGUGAUUUAAAAUAUACAAGACUACAAACUAUUGUGUGUUUGACUGUUAAAACUCUUUUCAGUACAUCCAUUUCUGUUAAGACUGAAGAACUAAGCUUGAGUCAGGGAGAGGUUCAUGAGGUGCUAAAUCUAGUGGAUUUUUAAUUAUUUAAGAUGUACCUUUUAAAAAAUAGUCUGAUUUCUCAAUAACCCAGGGACCAUUUCUAUUAUUUAUUUGCCACAUCAGGUGUUUUAUGGUCUGCACUGCAUUUGUUGACACUUUAAUCAUUGAAUGUUUCUCGGUUUAUCAUAUUUUAACAUGAGGCAUCAAAAUCUUUAAAAUUUAUUCUAUUCAGCAUCUAUUUGGGCAAUAAGUAACAGAAGAGCUAUUAUUAUUGGCAGAUGGAUUCAACAGAAAGUAUAAUUCAAGGAUAAAAAGUUUUAUCAAUGGCUGAGACUGUUUUGGCUGCUGUUUCUGCUGCCUAGCAUCUAUAGUUGCUGUCCUAGUGAUAAACAAACUGAAAGAAAUCAAUCACCAUCCCACAGUAUGCUUUGUGAGUUUCAGGGAUUCCUGGGAGGCCACAAAAUUGAGUGUGAUCACCAAUCUCAAAUUGGAGUUCAAUUACAAGGUAGGAAGAGAAUAGAAAGGACAUGAAUUAUCACUACUGAAGCAUAGAUGGAGCCACUUGUGAGUGGAUUUCAAAUUCUGCAACCAGUUAUCUUUAAUUUCUGAAAUUGUAAUAAAUUUUCAGAGGUUGUAGUGGAUUUUCUUCUUAUCUGAAUGGGAAUGUCCUGAAAACUUAUUUUAGAAAAUUGGUCAAGUAACAGGUUGCAUGUGGCUUGCUAGGGACAUAUCUAAGCCCUUCUGCACCAAAGUAAAAUGGAAUUAGUCAAAUGAGUUUUAAGUGUUUUUAAGUAGUUUUCUCUGGGAAUUAUCAGCAUGUGGUUCAAGUGUAGAGUUGUGGACUAUGGAUGGUCAACAUAUUUACUUACAAGUUACAGUAUUGCAAAAUGGGUAUACUAUCCAGACACUGCAUUAUUUUUUUGUACUGCUAGUCUGAUUUUAGAAACAUUUUCUUUAAUUGUUACUUGCUUUUUAAAUAUUGUUUAGCUACUUAAAAAAAGUCUGCUUAUGGCAGGAUUUUGCCUUAAAUCCAUUCAAAGUUGUAUAUUUGUUUUUCAGUGAGAAAAUUCUCAUCCUACCCUCUCCCCAAAAAACCUACCCAGCCCCAAUUCACAG